rnacentral:rRNA from 1 species
GAAUAUUGGACAAUGGGGGAAACCCUGAUCCAGCAAUCCCGCGUGAGUGAUGAAGGCCCUCGGGUCGUAAAGCUCUUUCAGCAAGGAAGAAGGGAAACUUGACGGUACCUGCAGAAGAAGCACCGGCUAACUCCGUGCCAGCAGCCGCGGUAAUACGGAGGGUGCAAGCGUUGUUCGGAAUCAUUGGGCGUAAAGCGCGUGUAGGCGGCUUAGUAAGUCUGAUGUGAAAGCCCAGGGCUUAACCCUGGAAGUGCAUUGGAUACUGCUUGGCUAGAGGACGAGAGAGGGAAGUGGAAUUCCUGGUGUAGGGGUGAAAUCCGUAGAUAUCAGGAGGAACAUCAGAGGCGAAGGCGACUUCCUGGCUCGUAUCUGACGCUGAGACGCGAAAGCGUGGGGAGCAAACAGG